rnacentral:rRNA from 1 species
UAACACCAACCCCUCGAGUGGUGGGGACUUUUAUUGGGCCUAAAGCGUCCGUAGCCGGCUGUAGCCGUCACCCGUUAAAUCCAGCGUCCUAAGCGUUGGACUGCGGGUGAUACCCUACAGCUAGAGGGUGAGAUAGGUAAGCGGUAUUCCUGGGGUAGGGGCGAAAUCCUUUGAUCCCAGGAGGACCACCAGUGGCGAAGGCUGCUUACUAGAACACGCCUGACGGUCAGGGACGAAAGCUGGGGCAGCGAACCGGAUUAGAUACCCGGGUAGUCCCAGCUGUAAACGAUGCUCGCUAGGUGUUGGGUCGGCCACGUGCCGCCCCAGUGCCGCAGGGAAGCCGUUAAGCGAGCCGCCUGGGGAGUACGGCCGCAAGGCUGAAACUCAAAGGAAUUGACGG